GUGUCAGCCGCCGCGGUAAUACGUAGGUGGCGAGCGUUGUCCGGAAUUACUGGGUGUAAAGGGCGUGCAGGCGGGGAUAUAAGUCAGAUGUGAAAACCCACGGCUUAACUGUGGGACUGCAUCUGAAACUAUGUUUCUUGAGUGCUGGAGAGGAAAGCGGAAUUCCCAGUGUAGCGGUGAAAUGCGUAGAUAUUGGGAGGAACACCAGUGGCGAAGGCGGCUUUCUGGACAGUAACUGACGCUGAGGCGCGAAAGCGUGGGGAGCAAACAGGAUUAGAUACCCUGGUAGUCCACGCUGUAAACGAUGGAUACUAGGUGUAGGAGGUAUCGACCCCUUCUGUGCCGGAGUUAACACAAUAAGUAUCCCACCUGGGGAGUACGGCCGCAAGGUUGAA
rnacentral:rRNA from 1 species